CACGUAGGGCGCAAGCGUUGUCCGGAAUUAUUGGGCGUAAAGAGCUCGUAGGUGGUUUGUCGCGUCUGCUGUGAAAAUCCGAGGCUCAACCUCGGACUUGCAGUGGGUACGGGCAGACUAGAGUGUGGUAGGGGAGACUGGAAUUUCUGGUGUAGCGGUGGAAUGCGCAGAUAUCAGGAGGAACACCGAUGGCGAAGGCAGGUCUCUGGGCCAUUACUGACACUGAGAAGCGAAAGCAUGGGGAGCGAACAGG
rnacentral:rRNA from 1 species